rnacentral:rRNA from 1 species
CGGCGGACGGGUGAGUAACGCGUGGGUAACCUGCCUCAUACAGGGGGAUAACAGUUAGAAAUGACUGCUAAUACCGCAUAAGACCACAGCACCGCAUGGUGCGGGGGUAAAAACUCCGGUGGUAUGAGAUGGACCCGCGUCUGAUUGGCUAGUUGGUAAGGUAACGGCUUACCAAGGCGACGAUCAGUAGCCGACCUGAGAGGGUGACCGGCCACAUUGGGACUGAGACACGGCCCAA